rnacentral:pre_miRNA from 1 species
AUUUUAGCAAAAGUAUGUUCCAUGUAAUAUUUGGUACAUACUUAUGCUAAAC